AGUGAACGCUGGCGGCGUGCUUAACACAUGCAAGUCGAACGAGAACGGAUUAUAGCUUGCUAUAAUUGUCAGCUAAGUGGCGCACGGGUGAGUAAUGUAUAGGUAAUAUGCCUCUUACUAAGGGAUAACAAAUGGAAACGUUUGCUAAUACCUUAUACUCCUUAUUAACAUAAGUUAAUAAGGGAAAGAUUUAUUGGUAAGAGAUUAGCCUGUAUUGUAUCAGUUAGUUGGUGGGGUAAUGGCUUACCAAGACUAUGACACAUAACUGGUUUGAGAGGAUGAUCAGUCACACUGGAACUGAGACACGGUCCAGACUCCUACGGGAGGCAGCAGUGGGGAAUAUUGCACAAUGGACGAAAGUCUGAUGCAGCAACGCCGCGUGGAGGAUGACACAUUUCGGUGCGUAAACUCCUUUUAUAUGGGAAGAUAAUGACGGUAUUAUAUGAAUAAGCACCGGCUAACUUCGUGCCAGCCGCCGCGGUAA
rnacentral:rRNA from 1 species